GAAAUCCAAAAUUGGAACGAUACAGAGAAGAUUAGCAUGGCCCCUGCACAAGGAUGACACACAGAUAUCAUGUCUGCAUCUUGUA
rnacentral:snRNA from 1 species